rnacentral:rRNA from 1 species
GACGAACGCUGGCGGCGUGCUUAACACAUGCAAGUCGAACGGAAAGGCCCCUUUGGGGGUACUCGAGUGGCGAACGGGUGAGUAACACGUGAGUAACCUGCCCUUGACUUCUUGAUAACUUCAGGAACCUGGGGCUAAUACCGGUUAGGAAUCCUUGCUGCAUGGUGUGGGUUGGAAAGCUUCUGCGGUUUUGGAUGGACUCGCGGCGUAUCAGCUUGUUGGUGGGGUAGUGGCUUACCAAGGCUUUGACGGGUAGCCGGCCUGCGAGGGCGACCGGCCACAUUGGGACUGAGAUACGGCCCAGACGCCUACGGGAGGCAGCAGUGGGGAAUAUUGCACAAUGGGCGGAAGCCUGAUGCAGCAACGCCGCGUGCGGGAUGACGGCCUUCGGGUUGUAAACCGCUUUCAGCAGGGGCGAAGCUUGUGGUGACGGUACCUGCAGAAGAAGCACCGGCUAACUACGUG